rnacentral:rRNA from 1 species
UUGAGGUUUCGGCCAAAUGAUAGGAAUGCUUAGUGGCGGACUGGUGAGUAACGCGUGAGGAACCUGCCUUUCAGAGGGGGACAACAGUUGGAAACGACUGCUAAUACCGCAUGAAGCAUUUAGGGGGCAUCCCCGGAACACCAAAGAUUUAUUGCUGAAAGAUGGCCUCGCGUCUGAUUAGAUAGUUGGUGGGGUAACGGCCUACCAAGUCGACGAUCAGUAGCCGGACUGAGAGGUUGAACGGCCACAUUGGGACUGAGAUACGGCCCAGACUCC